CUCCAUGAGGAUAAAUAUAUUUCCAUAAACAGUGCUGUGAUGGGUGUCUGCAGGCCUUUGGAGGGUCACCAUGUCUCCAUGCACCUCUUGAGACCUUCCCUGGCACCCACACUUCUGACUGCAAGGUGUGGGAUCCAAAGCAUGCUCAGGAGAAAACACCAUAACAUCCUCUACAGAUAGCAAUAGAUUAUUCAGCACUCCAGUCUUACAGAGUCCUGGGUCUGCUGUGAAUCUGUCGUCUAAAGGCUGGUUUUGAACUUUAUGGAAAAAGAAACAAUAUCUACAUGAAGGAUCUGGUACUGUUUUGAAUUAUGGC